GACGAACGCUGGCGGCGUGCUUAACACAUGCAAGUCGAACGGUGAAGCGCCUUCCUUUUUGGUUUGUGUGGAUGAGUGGCUAACGGGUGAGUAACACGUUAGUAACCUGCCCCCUUCUUAUUGAGAACCGCAUGAAAGUGUGUCUAAUACGUGAUAUUCUGGGUCGGUCGCAUGAUGGGUCUGGGAAAGAUAUUGUUUCGGUGGUUGAUGGGCUCGCGGCGUAUCAGCUUGUUGGUGGGGUGAUGGCCUACCAAGGCGGCGACGGGUAGCCGGCCUGAGAGGGUGGACGGUGACAAUGGGGAGGAGAAGCGGCGCAGACUACUCCGGGAGGCAGCAGUGGGGAAUAUUGCACGAUGGGCGGAAGACUGAUGCAGCGACGCCGCGUGAGGGAUGGAGGCCUUCGGGUUGUGAACAUCUUUCGCCAGUGAAGAAGGCCUGCCUCGUUUGUGAGUGGGUUGACGGUAGCUGGAGAAGAGGCGCCGGCUAACUACGUG
rnacentral:rRNA from 1 species